ACAAGGUGGAGACCAUCUGGAACGAAGUUUCAUAUAUUCCAUGUUUCCGCCGGUCUGCCGCUGAGCGAAAGCGAGGGGCAUGACAUAUC
rnacentral:sRNA from 1 species